AGAGUUUGAUUAUGGCUCAGGAUGAACGCUAGCUACAGGCUUAACACAUGCAAGUCGAGGGGCAGCAGGACGAUAGCUUGCUAUUGUGCUGGCGACCGGCGCACGGGUGAGUAACGCGUAUCCAACCUGGCCCGUAGUAGGGAAUAGCCCGGCGAAAGUCGGAUUAAUGCCCUAUGUUUCCUUUGAGGACAUCUGAUUUGGAAUAAAGGUUCACCGCUAUGGGAUGGGGAUGCGUCUGAUUAGCUUGUCGGCGGGGUAACGGCCCACCGAGGCAACGAUCAGUAGGGGUUCUGAGAGGAAGGUCCCCCACAUUGGUACUGAGACACGGACCAAACUCCUACGGGAGGCAGCAGUGAGGAAUAUUGGUCAAUGGGCGAGAGCCUGAACCAGCCAAGUAGCGUGCAAGGAAGACUGCCCUAUGGGUUGUAAACUGCUUUUAUGCGGGAAUAAAGUGCACUACGUGUAGUGUUUUGUAUGUACCGCAUGAAUAAGGACCGGCUAAUUCCGUGCCAGCCGCUGC
rnacentral:rRNA from 1 species